UCACUGCACUGAUGGUUGUAUUUAGCUUAUUUAGAGGAAAAAUGUGUGCUGGAAUUUAAGGAAGUGUGUGAGGAUGUGUCAUGUGAGACAGAUACUUGAUGUAGUUCUGAUUAAUUGUGGCAAAGUUUCUGAAUAAACUGCUUUAUGCACUUGAA